GGUGAAGGAGCUGGGUGAAGGUGAAGGUGAAGGAGCUGGGUGAAGGUGAAGGUGAAGGUGAAGGAGCUGGGUGAAGGUGAAGGUGAAGGUGAAGGAGCUGGGUGAAGGUGAAGGUGCUCAGCGUGGGCUGGGGUCUCUCCUGUCCCCCCUCAGACCCCACUGCUGCUUCCCCUCCUGCAUUUCCCACCUCUUUCUUUUCACCCCAAAUCUCCCUUUUCCUCCCAAAAAAUCUCCCCUCCCCAAAAUAUGUAAAACUUCACCCACCUAAUGUGGAUGGAAAGGUGUAAGAGCUUUAUUUGAUCAUCUCCAAUCCUUUUUUUCCCCGUUUUCAGGGUGAUUUCUCCUUCACCCUCAGCGUUGGCAUCACCCUGGGAUGGGCUCCCCAGGCUUUGCCACAGCCCUGGAGCUGCUUUGGGGCAGCCUUUGCCUUCUCCCCCCGCUGUUUCUCCUCUCUCUCCCCGAGGUUUCCAUGGAAGGAGAGGCCGGGUGGGCACUGCCAGGCCCCUCUGCCCUGCUGUCCCCACCAGGGCUGGCCUUGUCCCCAGCUGGGGAUGGUGGCACAGGGAGCAGAGCUGUGCCACAGCCUGAGCCAUCCCUCAGCCGUGCCCCUUCCCUCCUCCCUGCACCUGGGAGAUCUUUCACAAUUUUAUAUUUUUUUCUUAUUUUAUCCCUUUUUUCCCCCUCCACAUCCUGCUGCCCCUUUGCCACAGCCACAAUGCCCACCCCGUGCUGGGUUUCUGUCAGGUGAGAGCAGAGAUCUGGCACAUCAGAGAUCUGGUUUUGCCCUUGGGUUGAGUUGAGUUUUUGUUAUUUUUCCUUUUUUCUCCUCUUUUUUUCCUGGUGUUGGUUGCUAGAGUGGCACAGCUGCCUCUCCUCUGGGUGUAACCUCUCCAAUAGCUGUGUAUAAUUCAAAUGUAAACUUCUUUUUUUUUUUUUAAUAAAAUCUGUACAUACCUUGA